rnacentral:tRNA from 1 species
AGCGAGGUGGUCGAGCAGUAGGCGGUGGGCUGUAAACCUAUUUACGGGAUUUGUUCCCCCUCGCUA